rnacentral:misc_RNA from 1 species
UGGAUAUCCGUGUAGUUUAAUUAGUUAUACUAAUUGAAGGCUCAUGGAUUCGGUGCUUAAAGCAGAAAAACCUGGUUGUGGAUCAUUUUCGUACCAGGAUGCCGUCUCUAUUGUGAAAAGUCUUAAAACAGAUAUCGUGACAGAUAAAGUAGCAGUUAGACAACACAAUAUUCCAUUCAUGAUGAAGACGCUCAGAUGUUGUGACAUAACGCUGGAAGAUAUUGAUAGGCUGCCAAUUAUUCACAUCACUGGAACAAAGGGGAAGGGAUCGACAUCGGCAUUUUGUGAAAGUAUUCUCAGACACAGCGGGUACAAGACAGGAUUUUUCAGCUCUCCUUCCCUGGUCAAAUUGAACGAGAGGUUUCGUAUCAACGGUCAGCCUCUAUCUGACGAAGACUUCUGCUCUUACUUCUUCGACGUUUACAACAAAAUAGAACCCAUAUUGAAAGACAUGCAAGACAGAAAAAUUCCAGUGCUCUUUUGUUUUUUCACAACCAUGGCUUUCACCGUGUUCAUUAAAGAAAAAGUCGAUGUAGCUGUGAUGGAAGUUGGUAUUGGUGGACAGUUAGAUUGCACGAACGUCAUUCGAUCCCCCGUUGUCUGUGGAGUUACUUCUCUUGGAUUGGACCACGUUGAUAAGCUAGGCGACACGAUAGAAAAAAUAGCGUGGCAUAAAGCUGGGAUUUUUAAGAAGGGAGUUCCCGCUCUGACUGUCAGUCAGCCACCAGAAGCCAACGCCGUUCUCUUGGAGCGAUCACAGGAGAUUGGGGCACCUCUGUACAGUGUUCCAACCCUAUACGAGUUCUGUGCCGCUGGUCAACAGAUUCGUUUGGGUAUUGAGGGAAAUGUUCAUUUCGUGAACGCAGGACUCGCUCUACAGCUGUGUCGGGUAUUUCUACACAGAACUAACAAAGAAAAUCAGUAUGUCUAUGAUGUGUUGUCUGUAUCCAGUGUGAAGGACAUUCCUAUGUUACCUGUUUAUCAACUCAGCCCUGAAGAAACUGAAGGACUGGCCAGGUGUUCGUGGCCCGGCAGGGCUCAGACGAUCUAUCGCCCUCGACUCACCUACUACUUGGACGGAGCUCACACCAAGGAGAGCAUGCAGCAAUGUGUUGAGUGGUUCUCGGAUAAAUCAGAGAAGGAGGCAGCUACUAUUAAAGGACGAGUCCACAAGGUUCUCUUGUUUACCCUUAGCGGGUGUAGGAGUAUCUCUAGUAUGCUUUCCAUCCUGAAGGUAAUCAAUUUUGGUGAAGUUGUGUUCUGUCCCGGCGUGGAUUUAUACAAGUUACAUGAGAAAUCGUCAGCCCAAAUAUUGAGUACAUAAUUGGCCUUUCUUGCUGGGUUGGUGUUGCUGUUUGUCUCUGUGGAGAGAUGAAAACAAAUUGCUCAAAGCAACGAACUAUUAGUGAACGCCUGUGAGGAGAUCAAGAUGAGAUGGGACAGUCUAUGUGGGGACUGCCCUAAAGAUGACUGCGUCAUUAAUUGUGAUUUUCCUUCAACACAGACCAGUGUCC